ACGGGAGGCAGCAGUGAGGAAUAUUGGUCAAUGGACGGAAGUCUGAACCAGCCAAGUCGCGUGAAGGAUGAAGGUAUUAUGUAUUGUAAACUUCUUUAGCAGUGGAGUAAUAAGGGGAUCGCGAUCCCUGAUGCAAGUACACUGAGAAUAAGGAUCGGCUAACUCCGUGCCAGCAGCCGCGGUAAUACGGAGGAUCCGAGCGUUAUCCGGAUUUAUUGGGUUUAAAGGGUGCGCAGGCGGCCCGUUAAGUCAGCGGUGAAAUGUCGGGGCUCAACCCGGGCACUGCCGUUGAAACUGGGGGGCUUGAGUACGGAUGAGGUCGGCGGAAUGUGACGUGUAGCGGUGAAAUGCAUAGAUAUGUCACAGAACACCGAUUGCGAAGGCAGCCGGCCAAUCCGCAACUGACGCUCAUGCACGAAAGCGUGGGGAUCGAACAGGAUUAGAUACCCUGGUA
rnacentral:rRNA from 1 species